AACGUAGGACACAAGCGUUAUCCGGAGUUACUGGGCGUAAAGGGCGUGUAGGCGGAUUGGUAAGUCUAUUCUGAAAGCUCCUGGCUAAACUGGGAGAGGCGAAUGGAGACUGCCUGUCUAGAGUGAGGAAGAGGAAAGUGGAAUUCCGCGUGUAGUGGUGAAAUGCGUAGAUAUCUGGAGGAACACCGGUGGCGAAGGCGGCGUUCUGGACUGCAACUGACACUGAGGAACGAAAGCCAGGGGAGCAAACGGG
rnacentral:rRNA from 1 species